rnacentral:tRNA from 1 species
GCUGCCAUAGCUCAGUGGUAGAGCACCUCCUUGGUAAGGAGGAGGUCAUGGGUUCAAGUCCCAUUGGCAGCUCCA